rnacentral:rRNA from 1 species
UACGGAGGGGGCUAGCGUUGUUCGGAAUUACUGGGCGUAAAGCGCACGUAGGCGGACCAGUUAGUUGGGGGUGAAAGCCCAGGGCUCAACCCUGGAACUGCCUUUAAUACUGGCGACCUAGAGUAUGACAGAGGUGUGUGGAACUCCGAGUGUAGAGGUGAAAUUCGUAGAUAUUCGGAAGAACACCAGUGGCGAAGGCGACACACUGGGUCAUUACUGACGCUGAGGCGCGAAAGCGUGGGGAGCAAACAGG